GUGGCUUACAUGUUCACUAGUAAGCGUCAAAAUGACCUUACUAGUGAACUAGUGGGCAAUAUGGAAUAAAUACUCAAAGGGCUUGCCUGGCAAGCCCUUUGAGUAUUUAUUCAUCCGUGAUGGUAUUGUAGACCAAUGAGAGCACGUCCGACAGACACGUGGACUUCGGGCAGCCAAUCAUGAUGCAUUUCGAGCCAAGCCCCAACAAAAACGGAGGAGAAAACUUUCAGACGCUUUGAAAGCUUUUGGGGUCCUCGUUUCUGGGAGAGUCCACAGCACCUCCUGUAUCACAACCAUUCUGCCGGCACACCUUCAGCAGCACGAUGUUUCUAACGGGAGCUGGAGGGUGAUCAGCUUCAUUGAAGAACAGGAGGAGGAGAGGCACAACGUUUGUCAUUUGUGAUAUGUUUUUAGACUUUUCUCCUAAUUAAAAAAACUGUAUGUUUUGUUAAUUUCUUGAUAUAGUUCUUGUAUUUAAAUAUUUUAACAAUCAAAUAUUUUUCAACUGUGUUUUAGAUAUGAAUUGUAUGAAAUAAAUCAGUGAAGCCCCAUUCAAAUUCUACUCCAUCUAA